ACGUGGGUGAUCUGCCCUGCACUUCGGGAUAAGCCUGGGAAACUGGGUCUAAUACCGGAUAGGAGCCAUUUUUAGUGUGAUGGUUGGAAAGUUUUUCGGUGUAGGAUGAGCUCGCGGCCUAUCAGCUUGUUGGUGGGGUAAUGGCCUACCAAGGCGGCGACGGGUAGCCGGCCUGAGAGGGUGGACGGCCACAUUGGGACUGAGAUACGGCCCAG
rnacentral:rRNA from 1 species